CUUUCCCUCUUUCUUUCUGCCUAACACAUGCAAGUCGAACGGCAGCACAGUAAGAGCUUGCUCUUACGGGUGGCGAGUGGCGGACGGGUGAGGAAUACAUCGGAAUCUACUUUUUCGUGGGGGAUAACGUAGGGAAACUUACGCUAAUACCGCAUACGACCUACGGGUGAAAGCAGGGGAUCUUCGGACCUUGCGCGAUUGAAUGAGCCGAUGUCGGAUUAGCUAGUUGGCGGGGUAAAGGCCCACCAAGGCGACGAUCCGUAGCUGGUCUGAGAGGAUGAUCAGCCACACUGGAACUGAGACACGGUCCAGACUCCUACGGGAGGCAGCAGUGGGGAAUAUUGGACAAUGGGCGCAAGCCUGAUCCAGCCAUACCGCGUGGGUGAAGAAGGCCUUCGGGUUGUAAAGCCCUUUUGUUGGGAAAGAAAAGCAGCAGGUUAAUACCCCGCUGUUCUGACGGUACCCAAAGAAUAAGCACCGGCUAACUUCGUG
rnacentral:rRNA from 1 species